UGGGGAAUAUUGGACAAUGGGCGAAAGCCUGAUCCAGCCAUGCCGCGUGUGUGAAGAAGGUCUUCGGAUUGUAAAGCACUUUAAGUUGGGAGGAAGGGCAGUAAGCGAAUACCUUUCUGUUUUGACGUUACCGACAGAAUAAGCACCGGCUAACUCUGUGCCAGCAGCCGCGGUAAUACAGAGGGUGCAAGCGUUAAUCGGAAUUACUGGGCGUAAAGCGCGCGUAGGUGGUUCGUUAAGUUGAAUGUGAAAGCCCCGGGCUCAACCUGGGAACUGCAUCCAAAACUGGCGAGCUAGAGUAGGGCAGAGGGUGGUGGAAUUUCCUGUGUAGCGGUGAAAUGCGUAGAUAUAGGAAGGAACACCAGUGGCGAAGGCGACCACCUGGGCUCAUACUGACACUGAGGUGCGAAGGCGUGGGGAGCAAACAGG
rnacentral:rRNA from 1 species